UACGAAGGGUGCAAGCGUUACUCGGAAUUACUGGGCGUAAAGCGUGCGUAGGCGGUUUGUUAAGUCUGUCGUGAAAGCCCCGGGCUCAACCUGGGAAUGGCGAUGGAUACUGGCGAGCUAGAGUACGGUAGAGGAGAGUGGAAUUCCCGGUGUAGCAGUGAAAUGCGUAGAGAUCGGGAGGAACAUCAGUUGCGAAGGCGGCUCACUGGCCCGGUACUGACGCUGAGGUGCGAAAGCGUGGGGAGCAAACAGG
rnacentral:rRNA from 1 species